GGGUAUGGAAAUCUCUGAAUUUUUGGUGGCCUUCCUGAGCCAGGAUUCAGACACAGCAAGGACAUCAGGGUUAGCAGAGUGUGCUAAAGCAGUGAGUAAAACAAACUUAGGGAGGAGGCUUCUGAUGUUGACAUGCAUGAAACUAAGGCUUUUUCGAUCACAGAAGUCAACAAAUGAGGGUGCCUGGGGACAUGCAGGGCCUGGGUUUACCUCCACAUCACCCGCGGAACAGAGAAGGAGUAGUAUGAGGGUGCGGCUAAAGGCUAUCAAAACUGGUCGCCUAGAGCGUUGGGGACAGAGAAUAAGAGGAGCAGGUUUCUGGGCAUGGUGGAAUAUAUUCAGGGCAUAAUGCGCAGAUAGGGGUAUGGUGGGGUGCGGGUACAGCGGAGGUAAGCCCAGGCCCCGGGUGAUGAUGAGAGAGGUUGUAUCUCUGGACAUGCUGGUUGUAAAUGGGUGAGGUCACCGCAUGUGUGGGAGGUGGGACAAAGGAUUUAUCAGGGGUAUGAAGAGUGGAACUAGGGGGUCCAUUGUGAACUAAAACAAUGAUAACUAACCUGAACAACAGUAUACAAGGCAUAUUGACAUUUGAGAGAGACAUACAGAGGCAUACAGUAAUCACAGGUGUUGAAUUGGGAAAGCUAGCUAAAACAGUAGGUUAGACAACAACAGCUAAUCAGCUAGCAUGACAACAGCAGGUAAAAUGGCGUUGACCAGGCAACGGGGCCAACAGAUAAAACAAACAAGCAGAAUGGAGUACCGUGAUUAAUGGACAGUCCAGCGUGCAUCAGCUAUGUGGCCAAGAGAUCAGUGUCCAGGGGGCAGCGGUGGAUGGGGCAGGGAAGCUGGACUGGCGAGUGUUAUCCAGGUUAAAAAAACUAACAAUGACUAAAUAGCUUGUAGCUAGUUAGCUUCUGGAGGUUCUUGAGUGUGUUCUAAAAAAUUAAAAAUAAUAGCGAUUCCGUAUCACAUUGGGUGAGGCAGGUUUCCGGAAGGUAUAAACAAAUUAAAAAUCAAAAAGAGAUAGAAAGUAAAUAUGGGUGUUUGGGACGCGGUGAUGCAGACGGUUAGCAGGCCUGUGCUAGCAGGCUAACAGUUCGUAGAUAGCUAGUUGUGAAGAUCCAGCUGAAAAAUGUUCCAUUUGCGGUGGGAAUCCGGGGAAGAAUCCGGGGAUGAAAAAAUAAAUAGGUCCGUUAUGCUCUGGUUAGAGUCGCGUUGUUCGAACUGGCGAGAGCUUUCCGGGCUGAAGGUUAGCUGAUGACCGGUUAGCUGAAGACCGCUAGCAUGGCUAGUGGUUAGCUGGCUAGCUUCAGUUGAGCUUCAGUUGAGGGGUUCCGGUUCCGAAAAAUAGCUACAUCGGGUGAGGCGGGUUGCAGGAGAGUAUUUGGAAGCUUAUUAGGUUUAGCAAAAAGUUUUUAAAGAGAUAUGCAAAGAAAAAUAUGUAAAAAACUAAAAAGAUAUAUACAGGGGACACGACACGACAGGACGACUUACUGCUACGCCAUCUUGGAAGGUCCCCUACUAGGUCCCCUACUAUUUCACCUGGACACACAAUGUCUGUUUUUUCUUCUUCUUCAGUUUUCAUCAAAUUCAGCAUACCAGAGGAAAGACAGUCUGACAUCAAAGUGUAUGACCAGUCUCACACAGAAAUUGACUCAGAGGUGUUUGAAGAGAUUGCAAAGGAGUCACCUGACACCUUCUGGACCACUCUAGGCGAUGAAGGACUUGCUUUUCAAUCAUCAUCGUCAUCCUCUGUAAGAUCUGAUGACACUAAUUCUGAAUUUCACUGUGUGUGACCAUCAUGAAGAAGCAGCCACUGGUGAAGGGAGCCAACCCAAAAGACAGUGCCGGAUAAACUGAGGCUAAAACGUUGAUUGAAAGAAUCCGAACAUCAAAACCUGGUGGUGAACGCAUCAUACAAGAGUAUGGAAAAACCAAGACUCUGACAGAUGCCACCAGAAGGCAGAUGUCAGGAUGAUGUAUGCACAGGGAAUUGUUGCAUUGUUUCCUUAUCUCGAAGACUAAUUUUCAAAAAAUGUAUAUGCUCUCAAAUGGACUUUGUCUCCAGUUGGUGGGCCAGGCCAUUGUCGAUAGCCCUUCACCCGUGACGAAGUGCCAACUAACGAAGACAUCGAGGCAGCCAUUGCUGUUUUGAGAUACUCUGCUGAUGAAGACUCUGUCCGGGAGAAGAUGAAGACUGCCUUCCCUCAUUGCCAAGCAAUGGUUAAUGAUGCAGACAAAUAAGCAGAUGUCUUCUCAGUCUUCCCCAGGGUAUUGGAUAUACCAGGACUGAUAGAACAAUACUUCAGGCUUCUGUUUGGUGAGGCCACAGCCAACAAGUUCUUGGAGAAGUGGCCAACCACUUUUAAGGGAAAAGUGAUGGAAAGUCAUGGACUUACACCCACCACAGAACUCUUGGAAUUGAUGCGCAAUGCUGAGUCAGCUGUUGAAAAUGAGAAUGGCUGGGACAGUGACAUGGCUGCUAUCUUGCUGCUGCUACAUUUGCUACCACCAGCUGUGCAAGGUCGUAAGAAGCCAGGACAGAUGUCUGCAUGUCAAGUGGUAGAUCAGCUCAUCAGAUUUCAAAAGGUUGGAACCAGUGUGCAGCAGCAUCUGGAUAGCAUCACCCAAAGCGGUCAGCCCUACCUUCUUGCCUUGGGAUCCACAAAGAGCAGCAUUCACUCCUACUUUGUUGUGAUCGACAAGCAUGCGGUUCCAUGCAAGGCAACGGCCUCAGUAGGAACCUUUGACGAACUCUUUAAGACUCACUUCAUCGUUGGUACAUCAUACAGUUCUUGCCUGAGUAACUUCUUCACUUUUGUGCAAACAACCAUCUAUAACAUUGAUAUGGGGGAAACAAAGGAGACUCCCCAAGUUGCUGAGUUGAGAACAAGAAUGUUGCAUUAGUGAAGAUCUGCUAAGGUGAAAUUAUGAAGUGUUUUCUAUGCAAGACUGAGCAUACAAGUUCCGCUUCUAGUGUCAAUCAGAAAAUUAUGAUUGUAUAAUAGUAAUAAUUGUCAAGCACCUUAAAGUAAUUAAUGGACUUUGUCCAGGGAGAACUCUUUAUCUAAAAUGUGGUCAAGUGGGAUGUUCACGUUCCUUUGGUAGCUUUUCUGGUUUUAGAAAGCAUUUAAGUAAUUGCCACAUUAGCAGUUUAUUUGGUUCAGUCGAUGAUGUUGAUUUUUCAAACUCUCAAAGCACCUUUAACACUUGUAAAGGUAGUGAUGUUAGAGAAGUGUUGACUGAAAAUGUAGAGUGAGUCAGCGACGUCUUCCCCAGACAUUGUAAAUAGUUGUGCGUCUGUAAUUGCUGAUCUAAAGGCAGCAGGUGUAGGUCAAAGUACAGUUAAUUCUGUUGUGAAUUCCAUGGAAGAGAGAGUUCAUGAUAUCCAACAGCGAGCUAAAUAAACUGUCGUUAAGCAUGUUCUAUGUGAUGAAGGACAAACUGAAAUAUCCAAGAAAGGAGGCAUCUUUUGAAGGGUUAGAGAAUCCUUUCACUGUGCUAAAUUCUGAAUACAAGAUGUCCACAUUUUUCAGAGAAGUGAAAAACUGUAGAACCAGUUGAACAUGUCAUUGGCUCAAGAUUUGACACAAGACGAAACAAAAAGACUGGAACAUAUGACCAGAUUGUAGUUCAAGACAAAUUCAUGUAUGUUCCAAUAUUGUCUACCUUGCAGUCAAUAUUCAAAUGUAAACAUGUUUCAGAGAUGUUUCGCGAUCCUAGUGACACAAGACUGUGAUGGAUCUUUUAUUAGGAGUCACCCUCUUUUCUCAACAGAAAGACACGUCAUACAGAUUAAAUUGUUCUAGGAUUAUUUUAAGGUUGCAAACCCUUUCAUAAAUUGGGUGCUAUAUAUUUUACUUUAAGGAACUUCUCUCCUAAAUGGAAUUCUUGUUGGGCUAACAUAUACCAGUGUGCCUUAUUUCAUGCUCAAGAUCUUAAAUGUUAUGGAUUAAGGGCAAUCCUUGCUCCUAUUGUCCGAGACAUUAAAGUGUUAGAGUGA